rnacentral:rRNA from 1 species
AUUGAACGCUGGCGGCAUGCUUUACACAUGCAAGUCGAACGGCAGCACGGGCUUCGGCCUGGUGGCGAGUGGCGAACGGGUGAGUAAUGCAUCGGAACGUACCGUGUAAUGGGGGAUAACGUAGCGAAAGUUACGCUAAUACCGCAUACGCCCUGAGGGGGAAAGUGGGGGACCGCAAGGCCUCACGUUAUACGAGCGGCCGAUGUCGGAUUAGCUAGUUGGUGGGGUAAAGGCCUACCAAGGCGACGAUCCGUAGCGGGUCUGAGAGGAUGAUCCGCCACACUGGGACUGAGACACGGCCCAGACUCCUACGGGAGGCAGCAGUGGGGAAUUUUGGACAAUGGGCGCAAGCCUGAUCCAGCCAUGCCGCGUGAGUGAAGAAGGCCUCGGUUGUAAAGGACUCUUUC